UACGGAGGGUGCGAGCGUUGUCCGGAAUCAUUGGGCGUAAAGGGCGCGUAGGUGGCGCGGUAAGCGUGCGGUGAAAGCCUGGGGCUCAACCCCGGGUCGGCCGUGCGAACUGCUGGGCUUGAGCACUGUAGAGGCAGGCGGAAUUCCGGGUGUAGCGGUGGAAUGCGUAGAGAUCCGGAAGAACACCGGUGGCGAAGGCGGUUAGCUGGGCAGUUGCUGACACUGAGGCGCGACAGCGUGGGGAGCAAACAGG
rnacentral:rRNA from 1 species